rnacentral:rRNA from 1 species
UACGUAGGCACCAAGCGUUGUCCGGAUUUAUUGGGCGUAAAGAGCUCGUAGGCGGUUCGGUAAGUCGGGUGUGAAAACUCUGGGCUCAACCCAGAGCCGCCACCCGAUACUGCUGUGACUCGAGUGCGGUAGGGGAGAGUGGAAUUCCUGGUGUAGCGGUGAAAUGCGCAGAUAUCAGGAGGAACACCGGUGGCGAAGGCGGCAUCCUGGACCGGCAUUGACGCUGAUGAGCGAAAGCCCAGGGGAGCAAACGGG